rnacentral:rRNA from 1 species
UGGGGAAUAUUGCACAAUGGGGGAAACCCUGAUGCAGCGACGCCGCGUGAGUGAAGAAGUAUUUCGGUAUGUAAAGCUCUAUCAGCAGGGAAGAUAAUGACGGUACCUGACUAAGAAGCUCCGGCUAAAUACGUGCCAGCAGCCGCGGUAAUACGUAUGGAGCAAGCGUUAUCCGGAUUUACUGGGUGUAAAGGGAGCGUAGACGGCUGGGCAAGUCUGAUGUGAAACCCGGGGCUCAACCCCGGGACUGCAUUGGAAACUGUCUGGCUGGAGUGCAGGAGAGGUAAGUGGAAUUCCUAGUGUAGCGGUGAAAUGCGUAGAUAUUAGGAGGAACACCAGUGGCGAAGGCGGCUUACUGGACUGUAACUGACGUUGAGGCUCGAAAGCGUGGGGAGCA